rnacentral:rRNA from 1 species
UACGAAGGGUGCAAGCGUUACUCGGAAUUACUGGGCGUAAAGCGCGCGUAGGUGGCUUCGUAAGUCCGUUGUGAAAGUCAAAGGCUCAACCUUUGAAUGCCGAUGGAUACUGCGGAGCUAGAGUACGGAAGAGGCGAGUGGAAUUCCUGGUGUAGCGGUGGAAUGCGCAGAUAUCAGGAGGAACACCAAUAGCGAAGGCAGCUCGCUGGGACGUUACUGACACUAAGGCGCGAAAGCGUGGGGAGCGAACAGG